rnacentral:rRNA from 1 species
AGCGAACGCUGGCGGCAGGCUUAACACAUGCAAGUCGAGCGGGCCCUUCGGGGUCAGCUGCAGACGUGUGAGUAACACGUGGUAACUUACCCUUUGGUUCCGAAUCACUCUCGGAAACUUGCGCUCAUACCGGAUACGCCCUUUCGGGGUAAGGCUUGCUGCCGCAUGAUCGGCGCGCGUCUGAUUCGCUAGUUGGUGGGGUAAUGGCCUCCCAACGCGACGAUCAUUGGCUGGUCUGUGAGGAUGAUCAUCCACACUGGGACUGAGACACGGCCCAGACUGCGACGGGGGGGAGCAGUGGGGAAUAUUGGGGAAGGGGGGCAAGUCCGAUAAAGCCAUGCGGGGGAAGAGAGGAAGGCCGUAGGGUUGUAAAGCUGUUUGGGACGGGACGAGAAUGACGGUAACGGAAGAAGAAGCCCCGGCUAACUACGUG